AUGCUGGGAUGAGGACAGCUGAAGGCAGUUGGAGAGGAGGCAAGGAGAAGAAGAAAAAGAGGGGAAAUAAUUGGAUUUCACAUAUGCCAGAAUUGUCAGGCUGUCAAGUCUUUCAUUGACCCAAUCAGGCCCCUUAUGGCUGCUAUUUGUCCUGGAAGAAAACACUACCAUUGACUCCAGUGCUGGCUACCACCAUGGGCAUUAUUCUCUACUGCAGCAAGUAACGGCACUUGAAUAUAAGAGAAACAUAAAGCAGGAAAUGGCAGCUUGGCUUGAAAUGCAUGGUUUUCAAUCAGCUAAAGAAAUCAACAAACUCAUCACAAAAAUCCAGUGACACACAUUGUUGCAUUGUUUCAAGAAGGAGGAACUGUAAAAGAUUACAGGUGGUCACCACCAUGAUGGAGAGGCACAAAACUGGUCUGCACUUCAAAAUGGUGGCUGGAAAGGACAUCAGAAGUCAUUUACGACCACUAUAUUUCAUGCUAUGGAUAAAGAAACUGAGUCUCUAAGAUCCAUCCACGGAUACAUGAAACCACGAUCUGUGAAACUGAGGAUAAACUGUAAACCUAGGAGCACCACGCCUGGACUUGUCACUGCUCAGGACACUGGGGAGCAUGUCACAAUAUAGAGCAGCCGUCAGAUUACUGCUCUUCACAGGAACAGGAAAGUAUAUAUCUGCAAGUUCCUUUGAACAGUUCUAAGGCUCAGCGGGGAAAUGACUUGACUAGCAAGCCAGAGGUUGCCGGUUCGAAUCCUUGCUGGUAUGUUUCCAGACUAUGGGAAACACCUACUGUAUAUCAGGCAGCAGCAAUAUAGGAA